rnacentral:rRNA from 1 species
UACGGAGGAUCCAAGCGUUAUCCGGAAUCAUUGGGUUUAAAGGGUCCGUAGGCGGUCUUAUAAGUCAGUGGUGAAAUCUCCCCGCUCAACGGGGAAACGGCCAUUGAUACUGUAAGACUUGAAUUAUUAGGAAGUAACUAGAAUAUGUAGUGUAGCGGUGAAAUGCUUAGAGAUUACAUGGAAUACCAAUUGCGAAGGCAGGUUACUACUAAUGGAUUGACGCUGAUGGGCGAAAGCGUGGGUAGCGAACAGG